rnacentral:snRNA from 1 species
CCACUUUGGUAGUGCAUAUACUAAAAUUGGAACAAACAGAAAACAUUAGCAUGGCCCCUGCCCAAGGAUGACACUUAAAUUCACGAAGCGUUCCAAAUUAUU